GACGAACGCUGGCGGCGUGCUUAACACAUGCAAGUCGAACGGAAAGGCCCUGCUUGCAGGGUGCUCGAGUGGCGAACGGGUGAGUAACACGUGGGUGAUCUGCCCCUUCUUUUGGGAUAAGCCUGGGAAACUGGGUCUAAUACUGGAUAGGACCAUGCUGUCGGUGGUGUGGUGGAAAGAUUAUUUUCGGUAAGGGAUGAGCUCGCGGCCGAUCAGCUUGUUGGUGGGGUGAUGGCCUACCAAGGCGUCGACGGGUAGCCGGGCUGAGACGGUGGAAGGCCCCGUUAGGACUGGGAUACGACACAGACUCCUCCGGGAGGCGGCAGUGGGGAAGAGUGCACAACGGGAGGAGGGCUGGUGCAGCGGCGCCGCGUCGGGGGUGAGGGCCUUCGGGUUGUAAUCUACUUCUAGCCAUGACGAAGCGCUUGUGGUGACGGUAGUGGUAGAAGAAGCACCGGCUAACUACGUG
rnacentral:rRNA from 1 species